rnacentral:rRNA from 1 species
UAGUCUGGUGCCAGCAGCCGCGGUAAUUCCAGCUCCAAUAGCGUAUAUUAAAGUUGUUGCAGUUAGAACGCUCGUAGUCGGAUUUCGGGGCGGUCCGACCGGUCUGCCGAUGGGUACGUACUGGUCGGAGCGUCCUUUCUGCCGGAGACCGUGGCUACUCUUAACUGAGCGGUUCCGGGAGACGGCACUUUUACUUUGAAAAAAUCAGAGUGUUUCAAGCAGGCAGCUCGCUCUUGCAUGGAUUAGCAUGGGAUAAUGAAAUAGGACUUUGGUGCUAUUUUGUUGGUUUCGAACACCGAAGUAAUGAUGAGAAGGGACAGUCAGGGGCACUCGUAUUUCGCCGAGAGAGGUGAAAUUCUCAGACCAGCGGAAGACGAACCACUGCGAAAGCAUUUGCCAGGGAUGUUUUCACUGAUCAAGGACGAAAGUUAGGGGAUCGAAGACGAUCAGAUACCGUCGUAGUCUUAACCAUAAACCAUGCCGACUAGGGAUUGGGAGAUGUUCACUGAUUGACUCUCUCAGCACCUUACGGGAAACUAAAGUCUUUGGGUUCCGGGGGGAGUAUGGUCGCAAGGCUGAAACUUAAAGGAAUUGACGGAAGGGCACCACCAGGUGUGGAGCCUGCGGCUUAAUUUGACUCAACACGGGGAAACUUACCAGGUCCAGACAUCGUGAGGAUUGACAGAUUGAGAGCUCUUUCUUGAUUCGAUGGGUGGUGGUGCAUGGCCGUUCUU